rnacentral:rRNA from 1 species
UACAGAGGUCCCAAGCGUUAAUCGGAAUUACUGGGCGUAAAGCGUGCGCAGGCGGCUUUGCAAGACAGAUGUGAAAUCCCCGGGCUUAACCUGGGAACUGCAUUUGUGACUGCAUGGCUGGAGUGCGGCAGAGGGGGAUGGAAUUCCGCGUGUAGCAGUGAAAUGCGUAGAUAUGCGGAGGAACACCGAUGGCGAAGGCAAUCCCCUGGGCCUGCACUGACGCUCAUGCACGAAAGCGUGGGGAGCAAACAGG